UGACAUUGUCAACCUUAUCAAGGAGGAAUCAAUACACAGCAAUGUAUGUCAUUACAAAUAUAAUUCACUCUUCAUGCAUAUGCACACACAGACACACACACACUCACAGCCACAAAAUGUAUAUAAUAUGACCCAAUGUUUGUGCAGCUCAUAGAUGCAUAUGCUAAACUGUUGCAUGAACAACAAGAGGUGGUCAACCCAACUUCGGAUGAAGCCUCAUUGAUCUUCACGAGCAUGUGUUUGAAAGUGAUACGAGAGUACCAUCCUCGCAAAAGGAGUAAACACAUUGAUGCACAUGUCAAAAACUACCAAGGAGAGAGAUACCUACUAUUCCCAUUGCAUCAUGAGUACCACUGGACGAUAGUUGUGUAUGAUGCUAAAGACAAUUUGUGGAGGCAUUACAAC